CAAGCAGUGCGAACACAUCUUGCUGACAAGCUCCGAGACUUUUACACGUGUAUGUGUGUCAACGUCACUGCAAUGACGAGAAUUGUACCAAUUUAUGCAAAAAGAACGAAAGCUAUUGCACGUAAAUGCUCCUCUGACAUCCACAGCUACAACAUCCGAAACACACAGAACUUACAUUUGGAACACGUCGAGAAAAGAUAAGCCGACAUUCGGCUACCAUGUUGUUAACGACUGGAACAGUCUGACUGUGGAACACCGGGAAAUACGGAACAAUUUGCAUAAUCGGAAAUUGAACUUAACAGAAACAUUUGACACUAGCUAUAUAAGACACUCUGCUGAAGUGAUAGGACGCGAUAUAACAUAGCGAUAUAUUUAACAAUACAGUAACUUCAAUUAUUUUUCUCUCAGGGCUCCACUGAAAAUCACUUUGUGAGUGGACCUCCUGAUUCAAUAUUGUAGUUAUUAUUAUUAUUA